AUACGGAGGGUGCGAGCGUUAAUCGGAAUUACUGGGCGUAAAGCGUGCGUAGGCGGCAUGGUCAGUCAGAUGUGAAAGCCCCGGGCUUAACCUGGGAAUUGCAUUCGAUACUGCCAAGCUAGAGUAUGGGAGAGGAAAGUGGAAUUCCCGGUGUAGGGGUGAAAUCCGUAGAUAUCGGGAGGAACACCUGAGGCGAAGGCGGCUCUCUGGACGAUGACUGACGCUGAGGUGCGAAAGCGUGGGUAGCGAACAGGAUUAGAAACCCGGGUAGUCC
rnacentral:rRNA from 1 species